GACGAACCGUGCAAACGUUGUUCGGAAUCACUGGGCUUAAAGGGCGCGUAGGCGGGUUGCCAAGUCUGUGGUGAAUGCCCCCGGCUUAACCGGGGAAGUGCCGUGGAUACUGGCGAUCUCGAGGAGGGUAGGGGCAUCUGGAACGUUGGGUGGAGCGGUGAAAUGCGUUGAUAUCCAACGGAACUCCGGUGGCGAAGGCGAGGUGCUGGACCCUUUCUGACGCUGAGGCGCGAAAGCCAGGGGAGCAAACGGG
rnacentral:rRNA from 1 species